rnacentral:rRNA from 1 species
UACGAAGGGGGCGAGCGUUGUUCGGAAUUACUGGGCGUAAAGGGCGCGUAGGCGGUGGACCAAGUCAGGCGUGAAAGCCCCGGGCUCAACCUGGGAACGGCGCUUGAGACUGGCCCACUCGAGUUCGGGAGAGGAUGGUGGAAUUCCCAGUGUAGAGGUGAAAUUCGUAGAGAUUGGGAAGAACACCGAGGGCGAAGGCAGCCAUCUGGACCGACACUGACGCUGAGGCGCGACAGCGUGGGGAGCAAACAGGAUUAGAUACCCCUGUAGUCC